rnacentral:rRNA from 1 species
GACGAACGCUGGCGGCGUGCUUAACACAUGCAAGUCGAACGGGCCCGCUCUCUUUUUUGGGGGUGGGUUGAGUGGCGAACGGGUGAGUAUCACGUGAGUAACCUGCCCCCUGCUCCUGGAUAACUGCUUGAAAGGGCGGCUAAUACGGGGUGUGCCGGCUGGUCCGCAUGGGCCUGGUCGGGAUAGUUUCAUCUUCGGGUGUUUCGGUGGGGGAUGGGCUCGCGGCCUAUCAGCCUGUUGGCGGGGUGAUGGCCCACCAAGGCGGUGACGGGUAGCCGGCCUGAGAGGGUGGGCGGCCACACUGGGACUGAGACACGGCCCAGACUCCUGCGGGAGGCAGCAGUGGGGGGUAUUGCACAAUGGGCGGAAGCCUGAGGCAGCGACGUCGCGUGAGGGAUGGAGGCCUUCGGGUUGUGAACCUCUUUCUCCGGUGGUGAAGGCCCUGUCCGUUGCGGCGGGGUUGACGGUAGCCGGGUAUGAAGCGCCGGCUAACUACGUG